rnacentral:lncRNA from 1 species
CGCGAAUGAAUAUAUGGCCACGCACGUGAUCAAGUUCACCAAUGAAAUUGCUCAUAAAUAUGGACAGCCAAUCAGAUUUGGUAAGACAGUCACAACUAUCGCAUUUUGACGUUUCGGCGGGAGUAUACCAUGGUGAGAAUAUUAACCGACAGGGCUGGACGUGAUACCAAAAAUACAAUACCUCGAUGGCAGUACUGGAGCUGUGGGUAGCAGAUUCCUUGUAGGCUGAACUAGAGCAGGGAUGGAGCAGAGAUACCUCGAUAGGCUGUACUGGAUGCGGAGGAGUUGCUGCCGACAUACCACAAAGACUGUACUGGAUGCGGAGGAGUUGCUGCCGACAUACCACAAAGACUGUACUGGAUGUGGAGCACUUGACCGGGCAUCGGUCAGGUAUUUCCUUCGGGACUACGAUCCUGGGGAAUGGCGGACGUUGACGACAGCCCGGGACAUGGAGCAGGGAUGGAGCAGAGAUGCCUCGAUAAGCUGUACCGGAUACAGAGGGGUUACUGCCGACAUACCUCAAUGGCUGUACUGGAUGCAGAAAACUUGACCGGGCAUAGGUCAAGUAUUUCCUUCGGGACUACGGUAAUAUUCUUUCUUUUUCUCAUUCUGUUGUAAGAAUGAAGGAAAGAUAAUACGUCAGAUCUAAAUUCCAAUAAGGCUACUUGCAAACCUUACUGGGCACUCUUGCAAUCGAACUAAUGGACAAUGCUGGUCUUUUGAUCGGGUCUUACAAACUGUGUUCUUCUCUGCUAUUACAAAUACCUUUAUGAGGAAAAUGUCUGCUAUUCUUUACAACUAUUCCUUCUCUAAACAUGUGGGCAUGUCAAGUCCGCCAAAUGUGGAUUUGAUCAUGCCAUACACCCGCAUGUGGCAAGAAUGAUAUUGUAUUUGAUGAUUUGUGAAACUUGAGUUGAAUGUGGGGCGAAUGGACUUGAUAGAUCAACAGCGCUUAUAAUUUGAUUGACAGGAGAGGUAUAGUGUUUGGAUAGGCCGACUUUGAUUCUUUUUUCUGACCAUUGCCUGUCCUUCAGCUACAACAGAUGUACUGUUAUUACAAGCAAUAGUGCUUUGUAUUGAACAGUACGCGGCCUGAUGACGAAUGUCAGAAGGUAUCGUUUUUAUAUGUGGCGGCGGUAAUGUAUCGCCGAUUUUACCAAAUAUUUGGUUUGGUAAAACGAUACUAUUGCAAAUCUUUCAAAAUGAUGACACUCUGUCAGAAUAAUGUAUUGCAGAUCCUGGGGAAUGGCGGACGUUGACGACAGCCCGGGACCUGGAUCAGGGAUGGAGCAGAGAUACCUCGAUAGGCUGUACCGGAUGCAGAGGGGUUACUGCCGACAUACCUCAAUGGCUGUACUGGAUGCAGAAAACUUGACCGGGCAUAGGUCAGGUAUUUCCUUCGGGACUUUGGUAAUAUUCUUUCUUUUCCUCAUUCUGUUGUAAGAAUGAAGGAAAGAUAAUACGUCAGAUCUAAAUUCCAGCAAGGCUACUUGCAAACCUUACUGGGCACUCUUGCAAUCGAACUAAUGGACAAUGCUGGUCUUUUGAUCGGGUCUUACAAACUGUGUUCUUCUCUGCUAUUACAAAUACCUUUAUGAGGAAAAUGUCUGCUAUUCUUUUACAACCAUUCCUUCUCUAAACAUGUGGGCAUGUCAAGUCCGCCAAAUGUGGAUUUGAUCAUGCCAUACACCCGCAUGUGGCAAGAAUGAUAUUGUAUUUGAUGAUGCAGGAUUUUCCUUCUCUGAAGAUUUGUGAAACUUGAGGUGAAUGUGGGGCGAAUGGACUUGAUAGAUCAACAGCGCUUAUAAUUUGAUUGACAUGAGAGGUAUAGUGUUUGGAUAAGCCGACUUUGAUUCUUUUUUCUGACCAUCGCCUGUCCUUCAUUCAGCUACAACAGAUGUACUGUUAUUACAAGCAAAAGUGCUUUGUAUUGAACAGUACGCGGCCUGAUGACGAAUGUCAGACAUACAACAGACUAAACCACAGGACCACUUAUGACAAACAAAGUGUAUGGAACAACAACCACUGACAGACUAGAGCAUGGGAACAACCAAACUCGACAACCUACAGCAAUCAACAUAAUUCUAGUAACAGACCAGAGGAGGGGGACAACAAAAGAUGGAAACACGACAGACAACAUGGAAAGCACAGGAACUACCAAUGACAGAACAGAAAGUAUGGUACAACCACCAGCAGCAACAGAAAAAGGAUAUGAAUCCAUGACAGACCAUAAAAUGUAGAAGAGAACGGGACCACUACAUAUUACACAAGAUAAGGGGUAGAAGACCUUGGAAUAUGAAAUCAAAACUGACCAGAGCACAGGACUACAAAUUACAGAACAGAGUAUGGUACAACCACCAGCAACAGAGUAAACUGAGGAUGGAUCAACAACCUGCAGCUGAUUGAACAAAAAACCUUCUAAAAUGACUAGAAUUAAAUGAUUGAACAGUAACAGACCAGACUAAAAUGGAUGGAUCUACCAACCUUAACCAAUGAAGAACUAGAACAACCAGUGACUACAGAAAGAAUCUCGUACCAGUCCAGUUCCAGUGUUGAUGGCACCGAUUCCUUACCAGUCGGGAGCUAAAAGGAUGCAGUAAUGAUGUACAACAGACUAUAGCACAUGACACAUAUAGGACAGACCAAAGCGUAUUGAACAACCACCAAUGACAGAUCAAAGAGUAUGGAACAACCUACAAUGACAGACCAACGAGUAUGGAACAACCACCAAUGACAGAUCAAAGAGUAUGGAACAACCACCAAUGACCGACCAAAGAGUAUGGAAC